UAGGAGUCUGUAUUUUCGUCAGCUG
rnacentral:miRNA from 1 species